GGGCGUUUAGCUCAGUUGGCUAGAGCACUGCCCUUACAAGGCAGGGGCCGGGGGUUCGAGUCCCUCAACGCCCA
rnacentral:tRNA from 1 species